CGAACAUGCAUAAACUUUCUCCGGAGUGCCGAGUGGCAAGCUCGUCCGCCAGUGCUUCUGUGCAGCCCCAAAAAAGAGAAAUGUGUGUUGGUCAAGCAAUACACUUUUCACUGGUUGCUUGGGAUGUAACGUCAGAAAACCGCCCUUCUUCCGAGUUUGAAGUUUGAAGUCGCUGCAGAAAAAAAGUGAAGAGUCCACCCAUCCAUUGGCGUGUCCAUACAUAACUCUAUCGAUGGUAUAUUGCACAUGUGUGCACAUCGAAGGUAUUCUGUCCAUAUAUAUGCGAUUUGUAUUUGACAUCCAGUGUGCACGCAUUCCUCUUUCAAUUUUCCCGAUUUCAAAUUUCCCGACGAUUUAGGCGUUGUUUCUUUUUUCCUGACCGAAACGUUGAGCCUCACGCCACUACACUCACCACGGCUACCAUACGUGGAGUCCGUCUGUCAACUUAUGCGGAAGAAUAUCCUACAACGGAGAAAAGUCUGAGACACCUGUUUUGCGCAGCCGUUUCACCCAAAAUACUACGGUAUGGUUCAUUUCCAGUCUGCCCCGCUAUCUCCAUCGUCUCCUUUCCCUGCUCACAAGAAAAUGGAGAGCAUGAACCGCCGCAAGGCUUCACACGGAUCCGCGGUGAACUCGGAACCGGGCUCGACUCAGCAGUGGUAAGGCAGAAAGGAAAGGAUGAAAUGUGUGGCUCCAAGUUCUCGGAGAGGCCAAGCUGCAAAAAAGCCUCUCUCUUCCUUUUCCUGCAUAGUGGUUCUCUCGUCUUCAUUCUCUGCAAAGGGGACCAGAUACUGGCUUCACAACGGCGUGUCGGCUGCUGCGGAAGCAGUAAUUCCCUC
rnacentral:lncRNA from 1 species